rnacentral:sRNA from 1 species
GGGAUCAUAGGCGGUAUUUCUAUGUAAACGAACAGUCGGGCGAGUCUCAGUGGGAGUUUCCAGAUGGUGAAGAGGAAGAAGAAGAAAGCCAAGCACAAGAAAGUAGAGAUGAGACUCUUGCCAAACAGACCUUGAAAGACAAAACUGGCACUGAUUCAAAUUCAACAGAAUCCUCUGAAACUUCCACAGCAGUUAAUGAACUGAAGAGGCUUGAUCGUGGUUCUGGAUAGGUGGCUCCACUCCUGACCACUGUCAACAUCCCUUAUAUGUUCCAAAGUUGAAAAUUCCACUGUUACCAAUUCUGAAUGUUCUGUGAACACUUUAGAUGAGUAUUAAGCUGUUUUCUCCCUUUAUGACACACAUAGUUGAUACUGUCUGGUAAAAGGAGGCUCUUGAGCCAUUCCUAUUUAAU